UUGGUUAAAAAGAGCAACGAUUCUAUGAAGGGUAAAAUCAAAGAGUGAUAGAGCAAAUCAAUGUGAUUGACUGGGCAGUGAAGUGAAGAAGGGACUUUAUUGUCUUCCUCAGCUUUCUUGCCGAGAAAGGAGCGUCCGAGACAUCUUUAUCUGAUGAGCCGGUCCCUGUAGGUGGCUGGUUGCUAUGUUACAUCUUGUCAAGAUGUCAAAUCCAUCGGCUUUUUGUAAAUUGCUGAAUGACAAAUUUGAAAUGGAGCUUCCAUUUUCAAUAAAAGAGAUUGAACUCCAAUUCCUUCCAACCUGACAAGGUUCUUGGCAAAAGAAAAAGGGUUGGUUGUAUUAUCUUGGCUUGGUUCUGAUGAUUUUCUGUCCGUUCAAGUUUCCAUGAUCAUGGAACUUGAACGUAAAAAAUGUACAAUGAUCAAAAUGCAUGGAAACUUCAAAUUCAAAUGUUACUUAAGAACUCUUAGGAUCCCAAUUCCCUGUGCCAGGAAUCUGAUUGCAUUUCAAAGAUCUGAGAAGCCCCUUUCUGGAAAUCUGACUUUGGACAUCAACAACCUCCCAACUUUGCUUCACCAGUAGCUAUCAUUGUGUGUUUCGGACAGGGAUUGCACCUACAAGGUGGACGGGCCUUGCUUGACCAGUAGCUAUCAUUGUGUGUUUCAGACAGGGAUUGCGCACCUACAAACUGUCCAUGAGGGCCUGUGUGCCCAGAAAAGAGCCAGAGGGAUCGAAUGUGAACUCGAGUUUUUACAUUCCAUUGUUUCAAGAAUGAGUAAAAGCCCAAACAAAAUUGCUUCCUAUUUCACACAAAACUUGUACAACUUUCAACUGUUUAAAACCCUUAGCAAACCACACCAUAAAUACACUACCCCGGCCAGAUGAUAUUAUAUUCAAGUAAAGCUUACUGAGGUGGUAAGACAAAUCGCCCCCACUCUCUUUUACUUUUUGUUAAGCAGGUGAGCAAGGUUGCGAAGUUCCUCAAAUGCAUGCAUUGUUUCUGCAUCAAAUCCUCCAGCAAACUGCAUAAGGCAAGAAAAAAAUCAUUAACUUUUGCUAUGCAUUGUUUUUCUUUCCCCUUCAUAAACAUUAUUUAAGAUGUCUGGGCAGAGAAAAGUUGAUUUUUCCUGUGCAAACCAUGCUGCCUUGAAAAAUAUUAGUUACUUUACCCCAUCUCUAUGUUCGUAAUAAAUGUCAACCAAACCAAACAGUUGAGUUCAAGAAUCUCACUCUGAGAGAUACUUUUCUUUCUGGUACAAAAAGUGAUCUUGUUGGUGCAAUAAAUCAAGAUGAAAUAAAAUGAACAGCCACAAAAUUGCUUAUCUACAAACCUGAUGGAUUCUGAAAGCAAAUCUGACCCCUUGAAGUAGCAUAUAGUCCAGAGCAGGGUCUUUCUCUAGUGCUGCUGCCUUAGACUGGAUUUCUGUAGCUACCCUCUUCAUGUACUUCUUUGCCAACUUAACUGAGCCAAACUUUAUCUACAACACGAGUUGUUGAUUAAUUGCCAUGUGAAGGUCAUUGAAAAAUACUUGAUGGAAAUGCAGCAUAAAAUUGGCAGUAAGGGUUGUACCUAGAAAAUUUCUAGGAAGUAUUCAAGAAUUACAAGAAGCUUACAAUCACAUGGAUGUCCAGCUUAAACAGAAGUACAAAAUCUUAAACCUUUUCAUUUCCUCAACUCUACUGGUUAAUCCAAAAGCCAUCAUUUUCGAAUGUAUCAGUUGUUUUCCAUUGUUCACCUCUUAGUCAUCUGUAUGUCCAGUUUUAACAAAAAGUGCAACUUUUCAAUUCCUCGAACUCUAAAGCUUAAUCCAAAAGCCAUCCUUUUGAAAUAACCAUUGGUCGUUGUUAAUUGUUCGCUUCUUAGUACUGUAUUGCCAUCUCCUCCAAAGGAAGAUGGACCAGAUUUUAUUCCUUCUUUUCUUGUGUCCAGAUCUUGUAAUGUUUAACUUGUAAACUAACUAGUGAAGAAUGAAAUGAGAACGUCAUGGCUUACCUUGCUAAUAAUUCCGUUGUCAAGCAUCCAAUCUGAGGGAAUUUGGAAUUCUUUGCAAUUACGCAUCAAAGACUCUCUUGUUCGUAGAAGGUUAUAAACAGUGCGUUCCAUCCUGCAGGGUGUAUCAAAUUAAUAUACACGGAGACAAAUUAUUUCAGGAUAAAACAUUAGCAGAUGGCAAAAUUUCAGGUUCUUACUUCUCAGACAAAGCAACCAUUUUCUUUAGUGCAAUGUCACAAGGAACUCUGGGAUCAUUCUUGUAAUAUGAUACUUCAGAUUCCAACUUCUUAAGAUCACUAUACCCAAACGCUGCUUCUCUCAAUGUGUCAGCUUUCUUUUCUGGCCAGUCAAAGUGCUUCAGGACUGCCCUUUCAUCCACCUUCACGUAAAUGAAAGCACCAUGAGGAUGAUAUAACAUCUUUUUGUCAUCCAUAUAUACUAUUUUCCCUUGUGAAUU